rnacentral:RNase_P_RNA from 1 species
CAAGUCAGCUGGACGGUCGCGGGUCGGUGUAUCACCGGCUUGAGGAAAGUCCGGGCUCCCAAGGGCAGGAUGCUGGAUAACGUCCAGUGAGGGCGACCUCGAGGAUAGUGCCACAGAAAUGGUGACCGCCGUUCUUCGGAACGGUAAGGGUGCAACGGUGGGGUAAGAGCCCACCAGCAGUGCGGUGACGCACUGGCUAGGUAAACCCCGUUCGGGAGCAAGACUCAUUUGGAGACGAAGGCCUGGCCUUCCUCGGCGGCCCGUCGAGCGUUCUUCGAGUAUGUUGCAUCAGGAAAACGGUAACGUUUUUCGCAGAGAGAUGGCCGUCGGCGGCUUCGGCCGUGACAGAACCCGGCUUACAGGCUGACUUGCAGA